rnacentral:rRNA from 1 species
AACGAACGCUGGCGGCAGGCUUAACACAUGCAAGUCGAACGCACCCUUCGGGGUGAGUGGCAGACGGGUGAGUAACGCGUGGGAACGUGCCCUUCAGUUCGGGAUAACCCAGGGAAACUUGGGCUAAUACCGGAUACGUGCGAGAGCAGAAAGAUUUAUCGCUGAAGGAUCGGCCCGCGUCUGAUUAGCUAGUUGGUGAGGUAAUGGCUCACCAAGGCGACGAUCAGUAGCUGGUCUGAGAGGAUGAUCAGCCACAUUGGGACUGAGACACGCCCCAAACUCCGACGGGAGGCAGCAGUGGGGAAUAUUGGACAAUGGGCGCAAGCCUGAUCCAGCCAUGCCGCGUGAGUGAUGAAGGUCUUAGGGUUGUAAAGCUCUUUCGUCCGGGACGAUAAUGACGGUACCGGAAGAAGAAGCCCCGGCUAACUUCGUGCCAGCAGCCGCCGUAAUAC